rnacentral:rRNA from 1 species
GAUGAACGCUGGCGGCGUGCCUAAUACAUGCAAGUCGAGCGAACAGACGAGGAACUUGCUCCUCUGACGUUAGCGGCGGACGGGUGAGUAACACGUGGAUAACCUACCUAUAAGACUGGGAUAACUUCGGGAAACCGGAGCUAAUACCGGAUAAUAUAUUGAACCGCAUGGUUCAAUAGUGAAAGACGGUUUUGCUGUCACUUAUAGAUGGAUCCGCGCCGCAUUAGCUAGUUGGUAAGGUAACGGCUUACCAAGGCAACGAUGCGUAGCCGACCUGAGAGGGUGAUCGGCCACACUGGAACUGAGACACGGUCCAGACUCCUACGGGAGGCAGCAGUAGGGAAUCUUCCGCAAAGGGCGAAAGCCUGACGGAGCAACGCCGCGUGAGUGAUGAAGGCCUUCGGAUCGUAAAACUCUGUUAUUAGGGAAGAACAAAUGUGUAAGUAACUAUGCACGUCUUGACGGUACCUAAUCAGAAAGCCACGGCUAACUACGUG